GCCUUUUCACCCCAAACCACGUUUGUACCACCUUGGUAUGUCUCGUGGCCUAUUCAGGCCCGGUACUAUCAUGGCAAUUGAGUAAUUUUCACAAUCAGGCAUUAAAGCAACAUGUACACAGGGAAUACAAAAUUUCAUUACACAGGAAUACAAUGUCUACAUAAUUUGCCUUAUCUCACUACUACAUAACAUUGUUCAACACGUAGGAGCACAUAUGGUACUAUUUUAACAAUGUCUUCAUUGCUCCCUCUGAUGGGCAAGUUCUCCAGGUGCGACAACUUGAAUUCCUACAAGAACAGAACAUUACAUGAAUAGAUCAAUCGAGGAGGAAACAGUAAAACAGGCUGAAAGCAUCACACAUACAAAUAAUAACAGCAUACAUUAAUGUAUAACAUAAUAAAAAAUAUCUAUAACCAGGGCUAUUUCUAGCCAACCUGUGUGCAUGAAUCAUAAUAGAUCAAGCAAAAGACAUAUAAACAUCAGCAUAUAGCAAAUAUUAGUGAAAGGGGACAAUUUCUAGUACUCGUCAUGUUUGCAAAGUGAGCAAGAACGAUUAUAUUUCCCUACACAUACUUUCUGACUUUUCCUUAGUCCUACAGUGAUCUGCUCACUCCAAUUCUAUCUACUCAACCCAUUCACAUGCAACAUGGAUAAUCAACUAGCCUCAUCAUUUGAAGCAUCUAGUCAAAUAAGUAAUUGGAAUGCAACAUGGAUAACUAUGCCCUAUGAAACAGUUCACGUAUCAAGAACCAUCAAAGUAAAUAAGGAACUCGUAUAGAACACCAACUCAAUCACCUUCACAGCAAUGAAAUCAUGGAUAGUUCUUCUAUUUAAUUGAAGUUCUCUAAGCUUCUCCCCCCAUUGAAAGCAGUCUACAAAAUAAUUGAGAACAAGGUCAGUGCCAAAAUAUUUCAAACCAUAUAAUUUCUUGCUAAUCUCAUAUACUGUUAUUCAAAAUAAAGAUGUAUUUUGCUGUAAGAUUUUAACGCUAGUACACAAGACAUAAAAAGGUACGAGCAAUCCUUGGUGAUCUGAAGCAGCAGCACAAAAUUUAAACACAGACAAUGCAUGCCAUAUUAAUACCAGCACAAAUAGAGAAAUGCAAAAGGCACCUCAUACUAGUAUGGUGAUCUUCGGCGCAAAUUUUAAGCUCUGUUUCAUGUGGAUAAUUUAUUUGGUUUCAGUAAACAACAACAUGCAGUAUAUAUGAAGGGUUCUUGGUUGCAUAACAGCUGAACUAAUCCCCCAUCUAGGGGGGGGGAUUACAACAGGUUCCUGCAGUACACUAGAUAUGCCAACAUUUUAGACUACUAGUACCUAGAAAUCAUAUGCAACUCUGUUUUUUGCUCUAGCCCAGCCACAAGAUCCUAAAAGAAAUUGUACGUAUCUGGUGCAUUUGACAUAAUAAAGUAGCUCCCGAACAAACAGAAGUUCUGCAUCUUCACAUCCCAAUUGAGGAGGUCUGUGGGAUAACCUACCCUGAGGAGCUCGCCGUGGGAUCUUCUCCAUGGCCAGCCCCCUUCUUUCACAACACCAGAUUGGCCUCUUCACGAACCUACAAAAAUAAAUGCACGCACACAUCGGAUUGGGGGAGACGAGAGGAGGAAGAAGAAGAGAAGAGGAGGAGGAGGGAUGUGUAUGCAAGUGUAUAAGAAUCAAGCAUGAGAUACUUUUCAAAUUACUAUGAACAUUCUUAGUUUCUGGCAGGGGUAUUUUGUACAUGUUGGCAUUAAUUGAAAAAAAUGGAUAUGAACAAGAAGGCGCUACUGCACAAUAAUGAAUGAGAACAAUCAGGUACUGGCAGGGGUAUAUGGCUGCACCAUCGAUCAAUGCAACUGCCACCAACGUAAAUGCAGUAGCAACCUUUCUGAUGUAUUAGUUAAACUGUUAGUCCACUCAGCUAGCAGUAAGCACCUACCGAAACACUUGAAAACUCUCCAAACACAAUGGUAAAGUACAAAGUUCAGAACACUUGUGACUGCUAUAGCCAACUCUGUCAAUUAAGUGGUAUUAAGUAUUAACUGAUAAGAACAAGUGGCCUGAACCAAACUGAACAUACAUACUCUGCUGCCGUAUAAGGGUAUCAGAGGGAUCAAAAAAUGACCCCAACUUUCCUAGUCGAUCUAAUUGCAUCCCAGAUGUAUGGAGAAACAGAUAGGCAGUGUUGUUGAUUAAGCUGCAACUAGAUGUAUCCACGGUCAAGAAAAUGUUGUAAUUAAAAGGUGUCAUGUUCACUUCAGGAGAUCCUCACACAAAAGGAAUGUUGACUUCCUACAUUAUUGUAACUUCUAUGCAAGAGCAUAUGCCCAUUAACAAGAUUACCAACAACUACAAUGCAAAUUAAUUCCAGAUAUUUUGUCAAAACAAUGAAGAACAGGGAAUAGGGAACAUCCGUCAGUAGAUCCAAGCAUAACUAAUACAGUAUGUUACUGCAGACCAAAUCACACAAAUGUCUUCUAAUUUAGCUGCUAGGCACAACAGAAUCUGUAUGGGCAGUGCCACACUUCACAUCCGUCAGUAGAUCCAAGCAUCAGAUCAAAUCAGACAAUUUCAAAGCCAUAAUCUCAAGAUGGCAAUGCUUAAUUGAGGAUUAAUCUCAUGUACGCGGAGAAUAAAUCAUACUGUACUUGGCUACAGUUUGGCUUACCUCGUCGUCGCCGCCGGGGGUCUACUUAGCGGCGGCCACGGCGAGCAAAGGGUGAACUUGGCCGGGGCACCAGGAAGGGAGGCACUGUCGCCUCACUUANNN
rnacentral:lncRNA from 1 species